rnacentral:lncRNA from 1 species
GUCUGUUUUGCUUUACUGGUGCAGUCUUGUAAAUGAGCAUAGCUUUUAAAAGUUUGUACCAACACAUUCAGACAGUCUGAUAAAUAUUUUGCUAUACAUUAAUUUUAUUUGUAACAUUUAAAAUUGCACAUUAUUCCCUGAGAGUAGUUAUUUACAAAUUACAGAAUACCAUUUAUAGUAAUUAUACUUGAAAAAAAAAUACUGCCAUAGAUUUCCAAAUUUAUCUUCUUGUACUGAAAACUCGAGUUAACUGGAAAAAAGUUGAGAAACAAUAUAUUGCCAUAAACCUUAUUCUGAAAUGAUCCUAAAAAGUUUGAGACUAAAUUUUGAAAGCAAAGAAAAAAUAAGGAGAGUGAAAAUAUAAAAGCUGGAAAAUCUAAUUAAAGAAAGUUGUUAUCACUGGUGAAAAUUUUCUGAACAUUUCAAUGAAGUUUCUCUUAUCAAUAUGCUUUUCUUUUCUUCCAAAGAUGUUCAAAAUGUUUGUAAUUCUAAUGUUUGUAAAACAAUAUUUAAAAAUCCUUUUGACAUGAAACACUAUGGUCAUUAAAAAAUGUGUAUAUGCUAAAUGCAAUUAGUGCUUGUUUUUGGUUACACAGUUUAACCUGAUGCUACCUGCUCUAAUGCAUACUUGGCAGCAUUUCAAAAAACCAAACAGAUGUUUUCUGUUUCCCAUAGAAAGAAGGAGUGCCUGUGUGUUUGUGUGAGGAGGGUCUCAAGCCAUCCACUGAGAGUUCCAGAUGGCUCACAAUGCUACCUAUACCUUUAUUUUCAGUCGUGAUGCAUUCCAACAAAUACUCAUUGAAAACCAAUUUCCUGGAGAGAAUAGAGAAGAUGACAGAAUAGGAGGAUGCAGAUCUUGUCUCCUCUUAAGAGCACAUCAAAAAUACAUAUGCAUGUGGAAUAUUCUCACUGAAAACUAACUGGAGUCUUGCAGAGACUUAAACUGAAGCCAAUAAGAAAGAUACACAGAGUUGCACAGUAAGUCAAGAGAACCUAUAAAAUCUUGGGAACACCAUCCCUGGGAGGGGAUACAAAAGGGGAGAAUUACAGGGGGCUACUUUCUGAUGAGUGAAUGGUUUGAAUCACAUAUUGGGCUCCCUAGUAAUGGGUGUAACAAUGGGAAGAUGAGUCCCCUUAGCUGGUUUGAAAACCAGUAGGACCAACAACAGACCUAGACUCCACUCAUGAAAAACAAGGCUGAGGAAGCAGAUUGAAACUGCCCAGGACUCUGGCUGGUUUCCUGUGACAGCUCAGUG